rnacentral:rRNA from 1 species
AGCCUCUAGUAGAGUAAGUUGUGAGGAUUGGAGGUAGUACCUGCUCCAUGAGUAGUUUCUUAAAUAGCGGCCUUCAAGGGUCUAAAGGUAGCAUAUAAUGUCUUGAUUAAUUGUCGAGUGGUAUGAAGGGAUAACAACGAGAGAAAUACUGUCUUAAUUUGAUUUUGCUGAACUAAACUUUAAGGUGCAAAGGCCUUAAUAUCAUAGUUAGACGAGAAGACCCCGUGAAGGAUUUUAACCGGGCCUUUCUUUUUCGGAGUGAACAAUUUUGUUACACUUAUUGGCGGGGUACGGUUUCGGCUGGGAUGGCCCAGGAGACCAACCUCCUGAGAAGUGUAUUAGACCGGCGGGUGUUGAACCAUUGAAAUAGGGUGGUUGCUGGAAUAACCUACUCCGGGGAUAACAGCGUAAUCUUUUUGGAGAGCUCGUAUUGAUAAAAGGGUUUGCGACCUCGAUGUUGAAUAUGGUUAUCCUAAAGCUUGUAGCAGGUUUUAAGGGUGGGACUGUUCGUCCCUGAAAUAACC